CUCCACUACAAGGGAUCCGCCUUCCACCGCGUGAUCCCCGGGUUCAUGUGCCAGGGAGGUGACUUCACCGCCGGAAACGGCACCGGAGGAGAGUCGAUCUACGGCGCCAAGUUCGCCGACGAGAACUUCAAGAAGAAGCACACCGGACCUGGAAUAUUAUCCAUGGCCAACGCGGGUCCCGGAACCAACGGAUCUCAGUUCUUCAUCUGCACAGCCAAGACCGAGUGGCUCGACGGCAAGCACGUGGUGUUCGGGCAGGUGAUCGAGGGUCUGGAUGUGGUGAAGAACAUCGAGAAGGUCGGAUCUGGACAGGGAAGGACCUCGAAGCCGGUGGUUAUCGCCGACUGCGGCCAGCUAUCCUAGACGCCGCCGCUUGGGCUGCUGAUGUAUGGACGAUGGAAACGUCGUCGUGUUAUGUGAUGAGUGUUUAAAUUUGGGUAUUAAAGUAGGUGGGGUCAUAUUAGGGUUUGGGUUAUGGACCUUAUUAUGGUUUUAAUUUUCUAAUUUUCCGUAUAAUGCUCUUCCGGUGGUUUCUUUGCUGAGACUCUCAGAUUCUUUAUUCUGUAUUGAAAUGAGC
rnacentral:lncRNA from 1 species